rnacentral:rRNA from 1 species
GACGAACGCUGGCGGCGUGCUUAACACAUGCAAGUCGAACGGAAAGGCCCUGCUUUUGUGGGGUGCUCGAGUGGCGAACGGGUGAGUAACACGUGAGUAACCUGCCCUUGACUUUGGGAUAACUUCAGGAAACUGGGGCUAAUACCGGAUAGGAGCUCCUGCUGCAUGGUGGGGGUUGGAAAGUUUCGGCGGUUGGGGAUGGACUCGCGGCUUAUCAGCUUGUUGGUGGGGUAGUGGCUUACCAAGGCUUUGACGGGUAGCCGGCCUGAGAGGGGGACCGGCCACAUUGGGACUGAGAGACGGCCCAGACUCCUACGGGAGGCAGCAGUGGGGAAUAUUGCACAAUGGGCGGAAGCCUGAUGCAGCAACGCCGCGUGCGGGAUGACGGCCUUCGGGUUGUAAACCGCUUUCGCCUGUGACGAGGCGUGAGUGACGGUAAUGGGUAAAGAAGCACCGGCUAACUACGUG